rnacentral:rRNA from 1 species
AUACAGAGGGUGCGAGCGUGAAUCGGAAUUACUGGGCGUAAAGGGCGCGUAGGUGGAUAGGUAAGUUGGAUGUGAAAUCCUCUGGCUCAACCUGAGAAGGUCAUUCAAAACUGCCAAUCUAGAGUACAGUAGAGGAAAGUGGAAUUUCAGGUGUAGCGGUGAAAUGCGUAGAUAUCGGAAGGAACACCAGUGGCGAAGGCAGCCUCCUGGACCAAUACUGACGCUGAGGUGCGAAAGCGUGGGGAGCAAACAGGAUUAGAAACCCCAGUAGUCC